UCGGCCUCCGCACCUUUCUGCAAAAUACCCGCGGGCGGCCGGGUUGGCUCGCCUCAGGCACGAGGGCCCCAGACCCGCUCUCGGGCCCCUCGCCCUGUGUCGUUUCUUAGCUGAGUCUGUUCACUGGAGGCAAGCUGCUGUUUUCAACAUGACAGUUAAAGAUGAGACAAAAGUUGAGAAAAUGCUUUGUGAAUGCCAAAUUUGGGCACACGGGCAGCGGAAGGGCCCGGUGCUGGUGGGGAUGCAGAGCAUGGGGAACAUGGAUGUCUUGUUGCAAAACUGUACGGUC